CCAAGUUGUACAACUCCCAAACCCCUGUGAACAUACCACUUGUUGCCUCGGCGGAUCAGCCCGCUCCCGGUAAAACGGGACGGCCCGCCAGAGGACCCCUAAACUCUGUUUCUAUAUGUAACUUCUGAGUAAAACCAUAAAUAAAUCA
rnacentral:misc_RNA from 1 species